rnacentral:rRNA from 1 species
AUCGAACGCUGGCGGCAGGCCUAACACAUGCAAGUCGAACGAGUGGCGGACGGGUGAGUAAUGCCUGGGAAACUGCCCGAUGGAGGGGGAUAACUACUGGAAACGGUAGCUAAUACCGCAUACCCUCGGAUGUGCCCAGAUGGGAUUGGCUAGUAGGGGGGGUAAAGGCUCACCUAGGCGACGAUCCCUAGCUGGUCUGAGAGGAGGACCAGCCACACUGGAACUGGGACACGGUCCAGACUCCUACGGGGGGCAGCAUGGGGGAAUAUUGCACAAGGGGGGAAAGCCUGAUGCGGCCAUGCGGCGGGUAGGAAGAGGGCUUUCGGGUUGUAAAGUACUUUCAGCGGGGAGGCGUUACCCGCAGAAGAAGCACCGGCUAACUCCGUGCCAGCCGCCGCGGUAAUAC